GAUGAACGCUGGCGGCGUGCCUAAUACGUGCAAGUCGAGCGAACAGAUAAGGAGCUUGCUCCUUUGACGUUAGCGGCGGACGGGUGAGUAACACGUGGGUAACCUACCUAUAAGACUGGAAUAACUCCGGGAAACCGGGGCUAAUGCCGGAUAACAUGUUGAACCGCAUGGUUCUACAGUGAAAGGCGGCUUUGCUGUCACUUAUAGAUGGACCCGCGCCGUAUUAGCUAGUUGGUGAGGUAACGGCUCACCAAGGCAACGAUACGUAGCCGACCUGAGAGGGUGAUCGGCCACACUGGAACUGAGACACGGUCCAGACUCCUACGGGAGGCAGCAGUAGGGAAUCUUCCGCAAUGGGCGAAAGCCUGACGGAGCAACGCCGCGUGAGUGAUGAAGGUCUUCGGAUCGUAAAACUCUGUUAUUAGGGAAGAACAAAUGCGUAAGUAACUGUGCGCGUCUUGACGGUACCUAAUCAGAAAGCCACGGCUAACUACGUG
rnacentral:rRNA from 1 species